UGAACAUUUCUGCGGGGUUUGUUUUGUUUUUCCAGCUGUUGCUUGAUAGGUCUUUGCUGUAGCGGUAGUAGUGAGGUUAUGAUAAUGUUUAUUGUAAAAAUGAACCGUUUCAUAACCCGUGACUGACUGAAAUCGUUCAGCCUGAGAGACUCGCGUUGGAACAACAAUGUCGCGGUUCACAGCACGAAAAGCUUCAGUUCGACUCGACACCACUCACCCUCGCGCUGUCAGCUUUCCCCGGAGCAGCACAUGGUCCACAGUGUCCAGGUUCACUGUGGUAAACAGCAGACUGACAGCGAGACACGCCACCGGCUGGAUCCAGUUCUCCACACUUCGAGUCCGUGAGGGCUUCUGGGCUGUCCCACUGUCAAAUAGUCAAGCGCAGACUUUGCCGGAGGGAAUAACCCGCAGUCCACAACGCUGUGACUCUUUAAAAAUGUAAUAACAUGACUUGGCGUCAAGGUAUCUGUGAGGAAUCAUCCAAACAUCUUUCCAGCCAAUGUCGUUUACAGACGGUUCCAAUAAAACACAACAUGUGGAA